UAUGGGCCUAAAGCRUCCGUAGCCGGCURAUAUAGUCCCCUGUUAAAUCCAACGAMUUAAUCGUUGGAYUGCGGGGGAUACUGCUUGGCUAGGGGMCGAGAGAGGCMGACGGUAUUUCCGGGGUAGGGGUGAAAUCCUAUAAUCCCGGGAGGACCACCAGUGGCGAAGGCGGUCUGCUAGAACGCGCCCGACGGUGAGGGRYGAAAGCUGGGGGAGCGAACCGGAUUAGAUACCCGGGUAGUCCCAGCUGUAAACGAUGCAGACUAGGUGUUUGGACGGCCACGUGCCGUUCUAGUGCCGCAGGGAAGCUGUUAAGUCUGCCGCCUGGGGAGUACGAUCGCAAGACUGAAACUUAAAGGAAUUGGCGGGGGA
rnacentral:rRNA from 1 species